rnacentral:rRNA from 1 species
AUUGAACGCUGGCGGCAUGCUUUACACAUGCAAGUCGAACGGCAGCGCGGGCUUCGGCCUGGCGGCGGGUGGCGAACGGGUGGGUAAUACAUCUGAACGUGCCCAGAAUUGGGGGAUAGCGCGGCAAAAGCCGGAUUAAUACCGCAUACAACCUGAUGGUGAAAUCGGGGGAUCUUCGGACCUCGCGCCUUUUGAGUGGGCGAUGGCAGAUUAUCUAGUUGGUGGGGUAAAGGCUUACCAAGGCGAAGAUCUGUAGCUGGGCUGAGAGGACGACCAGCAACAGGGGGAAUGAGAAGCUGCCCCGACUCGGACGGGAGGCACGGGUGGGGAAUUUUGGACAAGGGGCGAAAGCGUGUACUAGAAAUGCGGCGUGUGUCAUGAAGGCCUUCGGGUUGUAAAGCACUUUUGGCGGGAGCGAAAAGGACUGUGCCAACACCACUGUUAGAUGACGUAACCGGCAGAAUAAGUACGGGUUACCUACGG